UACGGGGGGAGCAAGCGUUGUUCGGAUUUACUGGGCGUAAAGGGCGCGUAGGCGGUAGCACAAGUCAGUUGUGAAAUCUCCGGGCUUAACUCGGAAAGGUCAACUGAUACUGUGCGACUAGAGUGCAGAAGGGGCAACUGGAAUUCUCGGUGUAGCGGUGAAAUGCGUAGAUAUCGAGAGGAACACCUGCGGCGAAGGCAGGUUGCUGGGCUGACACUGACGCUGAUGUGCGAAAGCUAGGGGAGCGAACGGG
rnacentral:rRNA from 1 species